CACACACACACUGAGAUACACACUUACACUUUCAAAGGUAUGCGUGAGCAGGUCCUCAGAGAAACAGGUUCAUAUAACACCCUGAUCUGGGUACAGGUUAAUAUAACACCCUGAUCUGGGUACAGGUUAAUAUAACACUCUGAUCUGGGUACAGGUUAAUAUAACACCCUGAUCUGGGUACAGGUUAAUGUAACACCCUGAUCUGGGUACAGGUUAAUAUAACACCCUGAUCUGGGUACAGGUUAAUAUAACACCCUGAUCUGGGUACAGGUUAAUAUAACACCCUGAUCUGGGUACAGGUUAAUAAUACACCCUGAUCUGGGUACAGGUUAAUAUAACACCCUGAUCUGGGUACAGGUUAAUAUAACACCCUGAUCUGGGUACAGGUUAAUAUAACACCCUUAUCUGGGUACAGGUCAGAGAAACAGGUUAAUCUAACACUCUGAUCUGGGUACAGGUUAAUAUAACACCCUGAUCUGGGUACAGGUUAAUAUAACACCCUGAUCUGGGUACAGGUUAAUAUAACACCCUGAUCUGGGUACAGGUCAGAGAAACAGGUUAAUGUAACACCCUGAUCUGGGUACAGGCUAAUAUAACACCCUGAUCUGGGUACAGGUCAGAGAAACAGGUUAAUAUAACACUCUGAUCUGGGUACAGGUCAGAGAAACAGGUUAAUAUAACACCCUUAUCUGGGUACAGGUCAGAGAAACAGGUUAAUAUAACACCCUGAUCUGGGUACAGGUUAAUAUAACACCCUGAUCUGGGUACAGGUUAAUAAUACACCCUGAUCUGGGUACAGGUUAAUAUAACACCCUGAUCUGGGUACAGGUUAAUAUAACACCCUGAUCUGGGUACAGGUUAAUAUAACACCCUUAUCUGGGUACAGGUCAGAGAAACAGGUUAAUCUAACACUCUGAUCUGGGUACAGGUUAAUAUAACACCCUGAUCUGGGUACAGGUUAAUAUAACACCCUGAUCUGGGUACAGGUUAAUAUAACACCCUGAUCUGGGUACAGGUCAGAGAAACAGGUUAAUGUAACACCCUGAUCUGGGUACAGGCUAAUAUAACACCCUGAUCUGGGUACAGGUCAGAGAAACAGGUUAAUGUAACACCCUGAUCUGGGUACAGGUUAAUAUAACACUCUGAUCUGGGUACAGGUUAAUAUAACACUCUGAUCUGGGUACAGGUUAAUAUAUCACCCUGAUCUGGGUACAGGUUAAUAUAACA